GGUCUUGUAGCUCAGUUGGCUAGAGCAUUGGCUGUACUGAAAACUUCCCAUUGCUGGCGUGGUUUCGAAUCCCCCCGGGGCCA
rnacentral:tRNA from 1 species